UAUGAAAGGAAAAAAGUAAACUGUAUUAGAUAUAUUACUUUAAUCUUUCUUAUCACAAAAUAUAAAAACAUUAAAAUAAACACGUUAAAAAAGGUUUAACAGUUUUCACACUAACGUACAAUUAACCCCGGUCAGUUUACAUCACUUAGAUCCACUCCCCAAAUUUAUCUUCAAUGCAUCAGAUAAGGAGUGGUUCUAGCUUAGCUGGUCAGUUUCAGUGUCAUGAUAACCUUGUUAUGCAAUUUUCUUACUGGGCAGCGAUACAGAGAAGUUGUUUGCAGCUUAUCUAGGUCAACAUUUGAAUUCAACUGAUGGACAAGAAGUGCGCGUCUUCUUGCUGUUCACAUAUUAUGUAUUUUACACGGCAUGCACAAGGAUUAAGGCUGGAUUAUCAACUUCUGCUCAUUGGCCGUAAUUAAGGUUCCAUCAACCACUGCCGGCUUUGAGACGUAAUUGAUGCCCUGAUUGGAUGAGAUCCAUCGCACGUGAAAAUUACAAAGGAAUGCAACAUUGUGUUUUGCAUUAGAGGAUGGAGCUUUCUGUUCAUUUCUUUCCGACUGACGAGUCAUUUUGUGGGACUUACCGGUACAUGUAACUAUCAAUGGAUCCGCCACUUUGUGGAACUUAGUUUUAGACAGAUGCGUGAUAUGAUGAACCUGGAUAUGAUUACUGUGACCCCCUUUUCACUAGGAAGAUAAAUUUUGUUAAACAGUGAUUUAUGAGAUUCGGUG